AGACGGCAAGUUAGCUGAGAGCAAACCCGUCGAACCUGAUCCGGUUAACACCGGCGGAGGGAUUUGAGAAAGAUAACAC
rnacentral:ncRNA from 1 species